rnacentral:rRNA from 1 species
UCUUGCGCAAUGGGGGAAACCCUGACGCAGCGACGCCGCGUGGGCGACGAAGGCCUUCGGGUUGUAAAGCCCUGUGGGGCGGGCCGAAUGGCGGGGGUUCGAAUAGGGCCCUCGAUUGACGGUACCGCUUCAGCAAGCACCGGCUAACUCUGUGCCAGCAGCCGCGGUAAGACAGAGGGUGCAAACGUUGCUCGGAAUCAUUGGGCGUAAAGCGCGUGUAGGUGGCUUCCCACGUCGGGCGUGAAAGCCCGGGGCUCAACCCCGGCAGUGCACCCGAAACGAGGAAGCUGGAGUGCUGGAGAGGCGGGUGGAAUUCCCGGUGUAGAGGUGAAAUUCGUAGAUAUCGGGAGGAACACCGGUGGCGAAGGCGACCCGCUGGCCAGCAACUGACACUGAGACGCGAAAGCGUGGGGAGCAAAC